rnacentral:rRNA from 1 species
CCUACGGGUGGCAGCAGUGGGGAAUAUUGGACAAUGGGCGAAAGCCUGAUCCAGCCAUGCCGCGUGUGUGAAGAAGGCCUUCGGGUUGUAAAGCACUUUCAGUGGGGAAGAAAGCCUUGGGGCUAAUACCCUCGAGGAAGGACAUCACCCACAGAAGAAGCACCGGCUAACUCCGUGCCAGCAGCCGCGGUAAUACGGAGGGUGCGAGCGUUAAUCGGAAUUACUGGGCGUAAAGCGCGCGUAGGCGGUCUGAUAAGCCGGUUGUGAAAGCCCCGGGCUCAACCUGGGAACGGCAUCCGGAACUGUCAGGCUAGAGUGCAGGAGAGGAAGGUCGAAUUCCCGGUGUAGCGGUGAAAUGCGUAGAGAUCGGGAGGAAUACCAGUGGCGAAGGCGGCCUUCUGGACUGACACUGACGCUGAGGUGCGAAAGCGUGGGUAGCAAACAGGAUUAGAUACCCCAGUAGUC